GUUUAGGUAGUUUAAUAAAAAUGUUGAUUUGUGGUAUCAAGGUUGUAAUCAAAUUUAUUACCCUAGAUU
rnacentral:tRNA from 1 species